UGAGCAGGCUCUCUGCCAUCUGCCCACCAACUUUUCAAGUUACUUUUACCCACCUUCAAAAUUACAUCUGCUUUUAGCAAGAAUUACUGAUGUGAUAAAGAUGGGAGUGUUCACCAUGCAAGGGCAGGGGAUCCCCUGCUGCUCCACCAUCAGAUUUGGGACACCACCCCCCCCCCGGCCCCACCAGAGGGCAUCAGCUAUGCCUAGCAAUUACGCCCCCGUGGCUAAAUUAAACUCCCAUUGGCUAAAUUAGGCUCGAAGAGAGGGGCACCUGCUGCUAAGCUGUGUAUGUUGUCCCCUAGGACUCCCACCGUUUGCUGAGCUCCACAUGACAACAGCAGACGACAGGCCGCACUGAUCCCACCUGGCUUACAGGUGCUGUCACACAGGCUCCCUUGCUCCUUCAUUCAACCAUUGUUUACAUGUCGUUCAGGACUGCUGACUAAACACUUUCAAGCACAGUGGACCCUUGAACAACGCAGGUUCAAACUGUGCAGGUCCACCCACAGGGAUGUUUUUCAAUCAGAGUUAUACCAAGUGUCCCUGCCUCUCCUGCCUCCCUUCCCACUUCCUCCAUGUCUUCCUCUCUGCCACCCUGAGGCAGCAAGACCAGCCCCUCCUCCUCAGCCACUCAACAUGAAGACAACGAGGAUGAAGACUUCUAUGAUAAUCCACUUCCACUUAGUAAAUGCUUUCUCUUAUGAUAUUCUUAAUGACAUUUUAUUUUCCCAAGCUUAGUUUAUUG
rnacentral:lncRNA from 1 species